rnacentral:rRNA from 1 species
AACGAACGCUGGCGGCAUGCCUAACACAUGCAAGUCGAACGAGACCUUCGGGUCUAGUGGCGCACGGGUGCGUAACGCGUGGGAACCUGCCCUUAGGUUCGGAAUAACUCCCCGAAAGGGGUGCUAAUACCGGAUAAUGUCUUCGGACCAAAGAUUUAUCGCCUUUGGAUGGGCCGGCGUUGGAUUAGCUAGUUGGUAGGGUAAAAGCCUACCAAGGCGACGAUCCAUAGCUGGUCAGAGAGGAUGAUCAGCCACACUGGGACUGAGACACGGCCCAGACUCCUACGGGAGGCAGCAGUGGGGAAUAUUGGAAAAUGGGGUAAAGCCUGAUCCAGCAAUGCCGCGUAAGUGAUGAAGGCCGUAGGGUUGUAAAGCUCUUUUACCCGGGGUGAUAAUGACAGUACCGAGAGAAUAAGCUCCGGCUAACUCCGUG